GGGUUUAUUUAUCGUCAUGCAGAACCAGGGUAUGUGAUGUUAACUUGUUGGCUUCCAGAUGGACCUGCUGCUUUGCCUUCCACCUCGCUGCAUCAAAUUGGUGUUGGAGGUCAUGAGCGAAAAACAAGAGACUUAGGUGCUUGUUGUGAAAGAAAGAAAAUGCCCAUCACACUGUUCGGGCAUCUGGAAGAUCCCCACUGGUUUUAUUGAUAAGUAUGAAGACAUAUUUUUUGGAGCCGUAAGAGAAGUUAGAGAAGAAACUGGGAUAGAAACCUGCUUCCUGGAUGUGGUCGCUUUCAGUCACAUUUGACAAGUCAGAUAUACUCUUUAUAUGCACACUGAAGCCGUUAUCAUUUGACAUCUCAGUUGACGAAUCAGAGAUUGAAGCGGCACAGUGGAUGCCACUUGAUGAAUUUAUCAACCAACCGUUCCAUCAGGAGGAUGAAAUGCGCAAGGCGAUAGUUGACAUAUGCAUAGCUAGAUAUCAGAAGUGCUACACAGGAUUUGGGGCUUAUCAGGUUAUGUCGAAGCUUGAUAAUAGGGUUGCUUGCCUCUACUUCCAGGAUACUCUGGAGUCUGGAAGCAGCUGGGUGCGUUCCUGAGACAAGUUGGUAUAAAGUUUGAUUAACUACCUAGAAAAGUGGACAUGUGCCCAAUAGUCCAGCUGCAAACAAUAUUUGGCAUGUUGAAUACCCCUUUCUUUUAUGGUAUCUUCGAAAAUCCAGAAGUUAUGUUUUCUCCCGCACUGAAGUUUUCACUGUGAAAAUAAUCAUAAUUUAGGGUACUCUUCAUCUGUAACAAAACUGUAAUGAUAUUUCUGACGCCUUAGCUACAAUGGUGGAUACUUGUUGAUGCAUGUAUGUGUGUAUGAAACUUUUUCUUGGUA